rnacentral:rRNA from 1 species
UACGAAGGGGGCUAGCGUUGCUCGGAAUCACUGAGCGUAAAGGGUGCGUAGGCGGGUCUUUAAGUCAGGGGUGAAAUCCUGGAGCUCAACUCCAGAACUGCCUUUGAUACUGAAGAUCUUGAGUUCGGGAGAGGUGAGUGGAACUGCGAGUGUAGAGGUGAAAUUCGUAGAUAUUCGCAAGAACACCAGUGGCGAAGGCGGCUCACUGGCCCGAUACUGACGCUGAGGCACGAAAGCGUGGGGAGCAAACAGG